rnacentral:rRNA from 1 species
GAUGAACGCUGGCGGCGUGCUUAACACAUGCAAGUCGAACGAUGAAGCCCAGCUUGCUGGGUGGAUUAGUGGCGAACGGGUGAGUAACACGUGAGUAACCUGCCCUUAACUUUGGGAUAAGCCUGGGAAACUGGGUCUAAUACCGGAUAGGAGCGUCCACCGCAUGGUGGGUGUUGGAAAGAUUUAGCGGUUUUGGAUGGACUCGCGGCCUAUCAGCUUGUUGGUGAGGUAAUGGCUCACCAAGGCGACGACGGGUAGCCGGCCUGAGAGGGUGACCGGCCACACUGGGACUGAGACACGGCCCAGACUCCUACGGGAGGCAGCAGUGGGGAAUAUUGCACAAUGGGCGCAAGCCUGAUGCAGCGACGCCGCGUGAGGGAUGACGGCCUUCGGGUUGUAAACCUCUUUCAGUAGGGAAGAAGCGAAAGUGACGGUACCUGCAGAAGAAGCACCGGCUAACUACGUG